GUCGCGGUGAUUCGGCAGAAGAAGAGUUUCCUGUUUUUAGUUUUCGGUCUGUGAGCGCUCCUGUGGUGGGUUUUCGGUUUUAUGAGAACACGCGGGCUGGUGAGGAGCUGCUGGACUUUGGAGGAGUUGUGGGGAAACUCAGCGGAAUUUAGCGGAGACUCGGAGCGUUUGUCGGCGCCGUGACUCCGUCAGAGAGGAGCUGGAGGCGGCGGAGCGUCUGGAGUGGUGUAUGUCAUGAAACAGACACCCUCUC